GAUGAACGCUGACAGAAUGCUUAACACAUCAGCAAUUGAUUGGUGGCGGACGGGUGAGUAACGCGUAAAGAACUUGCCUCUCAGGUAGGGACAACAUUUGGAAACGAAUGCUACUACCAAUUCCUGUGAGAGUGGUUUGGGUCCCAUUAGCUAGUUGGAGAGGUAACGGCUCAGCAAGGCGAUGUUGGGUAGCCGGCCUGGGAGGGUGAUCGGCCACAAGGGGACUGAGACACAGCACUUACUACUACGGGAGGCAGCAGGGGGGAAUAAUGGACAAUGGACCAAAGUCUGAUCCAGCAAUUCUGUGUGAACGAUGAAGUUUUCGGAAUGUAGAGUGCUUUCAGUUGAGAAGCGGUACCAACAGAAGAAGUGACGGCUAAAUACGUGCCAGCAGCCGCGGUAAUUC
rnacentral:rRNA from 1 species